GACGAACGCGGCGGCGUGCUUAACACAUGCAAGUCGAACGAAGAGCGAUGGAAGCUUGCUUCUAUCAAUCUUAGUGGCGAACGGGUGAGUAACGCGUAAUCAACCUGCCCUUCAGAGGGGGACAACAGUUGGAAACGACUGCUAAUACCGCAUACGAUCUAAUCUCGGCAUCGAGGAUAGAUGAAAGGUGGCCUCUAUGUAUAAGCUAUCACUGAAGGAGGGGAUUGCGUCUGAUUAGCUAGUUGGAGGGGUAACGGCCCACCAAGGCGAUGAUCAGUAGCCGGUCUGAGAGGAUGAACGGCCACAUUGGGACUGAGACACGGCCCAGACUCCUACGGGAGGCAGCAGUGGGGAAUCUUCCGCAAUGGACGAAAGUCUGACGGAGCAACGCCGCGUGAGUGAUGACGGCC
rnacentral:rRNA from 1 species